AAGCUCGAAGAUGAGGAACUAAUCUCAUACAUCUUGACUGGCUAGAUCAUGAGUUCAACCCAGUGGUGACUGUGGUGGCGGCGCGCGUUGAGCCGAUCACUAUGAAUGAACUCUAUGCGCAGCUUGUCUCCUUCGAGC
rnacentral:snoRNA from 1 species